rnacentral:lncRNA from 1 species
AUGCACUUGUUUAAAGCUUUCCAGUAAGCUGUGAUGUGAGUGCUGCCUCCCAUGAAUUUUCACUAUGCACCAAGCAAAAUGGAAUCUCUCCUAAUUAUAACAUAUUACUUUGCAACUGGAAAAGUAACAUUUUGAGGAGUGGCCCAGUUCCUCAUCUUCUUUCUCUUUGUCUGCCCCUUGCUGGCAAAAAUUGCUCUUGGUUUUCCUCCUUCAUUCAGAGCUUGAGACAGGCAGAAGAAAGCAGGCAGACAGUUAAGGACAGCUUAGUCUGUGUGUACUGCCCUCUGCAAAAGUAUUUGGUGUCUGGCUUCCAGGGAUUCAGCUCCAGUGGUCCAGGCCAGGGAAACUACAUUACAGAGCGACAAGGAGAAGGGAAAAUCUUGAGCUGUGAACACCUACUCCUUAGCUCCACUCUUCACAAAACUCAGUCUCCCACCCACAGUCCUGUGGGACAAGUUGAACUCCAUCCUCUGGAAGGCCCUUGUGCUCCAUAUCCAGAUGUUAAAAUAUUACCUCAUGCACUGCCUGCUGGCUCUUCUGUCACAUAAUAUUCUCAUUUGAAAACUUUUCACAUUGACGAAUAACUUUGAUUUCAUUUCAUAUGGUCAGUGCCACAAAAAGGGGAAAAAAAUGCUGCCAGAAUGUAAACUUUUCAUGUGUUAAAUGUUUUUGCCUUAGAGAGAAAAAGCAAAUCAAAAAUCCACCAAUAGCAAAAUUGAAAUCAUUAAUCUUCAGAAGACUGAAAAAGAAUGAGGAACAUCAUAAAGAGAAAUGUUUCAGCAGCACAAUCAAGCUGGAAGACUCCAGUGUUAUUGGUUUACCCACUCCUAUUGCAGUAUGUCAAAUUUCCUUACAAUCAAAAUUCAUGUUUCUGAGGUGGAGCUUGUUUGCUGCUGUCAGAAAGAGCCUUCAAGGAGCCUAGACUUCAGGAAAACAAAAGGGUUUCCACAACAAUUUAACGAUUUUCAAGAGAAGCAGUGAGGUGAUAAUUUAUAACAGG